rnacentral:lncRNA from 1 species
UUUUUUUGGGACAAGGCUUUCUCUUUCUCUUUGUGUUUGUAGAGGGGAGGCCUCAUCUCUACUCCUGCAGGUAAUACAAGGACCAUAAUACUAAUCCUAAAACAAUUGGAGGAAUGUCUGAUGCAGAGAUCUGUCUGCACCUGAAGAUGGAAGACAGUCUACUUGCUCUUUUUGUUGUUUUGGUUGGGUUGUUUUUUUGCCUCCUUCUCGGUUCCUUCUUCAGUUUUAGUGAAUCCAGACUAGGAUUGAAGGUCACAUCUCUUUAACUAGGUCUCAGCAUUUUUCAUUUCCCUAGCCCCAGUUAUUUUUCCUCUCCUUUGGAACUGAGUCCUCUGAAAUAGCAAAAAAUUUUGCCAGACCAACAAAAGCAGCCUGCCUAGCCCAAAGUCUUACUUAGAACUCUUACACAGUUCUGAAUAAACAGCCCUGCAUUGGAGAACUCCUUAGUGGACUUCUCCACUAACUUAAACCUGUCUUUGUAUGCAAAAACUAAAAUAAAACUGAAAGUUACAUUUCUGCAUGAAAAUACCGUACAUUUUUUACCGUUACGGAACAAUGUAAGAAGAGAAUAUAAGCGAAAUACAUGCUUUCUACUUUACCCAUUUUGUUCAUCUAUUUAACAAGCGCUACCUUGUCCUUUUCCAUGUUAAGGCAGAGAAGAGCUAGGUAGAAUCUUUACAGUAAUAGAAGAACAGCGAAAGGGAAGUCAUGCACAAAAUGCAGAACUUGGGGGGGGGGGGGGGGGGGAAGACUGAAUUAAAAGCACAUUAUCUGAACACAGAAAUUCUCAAAAUCGGGUUCAGAAAGGGACAGUGGCCAGCGCCGCAUUGACGAGCGAAGGGAUUCAGUCAGCAUCACAGUGUUUGGUAUUUUUUGCACGUUUCACAGCCCCGACGCAGCCCCGGUUUCUCUAAAACUGCCGCGACCCCACCAGCUUUCUCUCCCGCCAGAGCGGCCAGAACUCCCCCGCUACCGCCGCCGGCCGCCCCGCCGCGCCCGCGCCCAUCCCCGCCUCCCCGGUCUGCACAGGCCCCCGGCCCGGCGCAACACCCUUACCUGGAGAAGAGCCAGCCCCCGGCUCACACCUGAGAAGCCACAGCGCCCGCAGGGCCCUGGCAAUGCCGAUAGCGGUGCUCUGCAGCGCGGCGCUG